UAUUGAACUUAGUAAGACCAUAUAUUCAAUAAAAUAAAAGCUUGACUCUGGCCAGGCACGGUGGCUCACGCCUGUAAUCCCAGCACUUUGGGAGGCCGAGGCUGGUAGAUCACGAGGUCAGGAGAUUUAGACUAUCCUGGUUAACACGGUGAAACCCCGACUCUACUAAAAAUACAAAAAAUUGGCCAGGCUCGGUGGCGGGUAUAUGUAGUCCCAGCUACUCGGGAGGCUGAGGCAGGAGAAUGGUGUGAACCUGGGAGGCAGAACUUGCAGUGGGCUGAGAUAGCGCCACUGCACUCCAGCCUGGGCAACAGAGUGAGACUCCAUCUCGGGGAAAAAAAAAAAAAAAAAAAAGCUUGACUCUGAGAUAAUAAAUAGCCCUGUACAAUGAAAAGUAGAGUGUAUGGCUAAGGAAAUAAAUUGAGGACACCAAUAUAACAUCACAAUGGGAUAAACACAUACACCAGAAAUAGUAAGAAAACAUAAAUUGCAGAAAAUAAAAUUAAGGACAAUUUCUAUAAAAUUAAGUACACAGACUAGGAUGUAACUUGUUACCCUUGAAAUAAUAUAGAAUUGAGAGAAUUGCUUUUCAUGAAAAAUCAGAGGUUCAAAGAGGCUUACUUUCAGAUCACUAGUUAGCUAGCAAAUUUGCCAACUGGUAGCUCCAACUAAUCAUAAGAGAUUUUAAAAGACAAUGUUUUUUAAAAGAAUCAAUAAAAAAAAUUAACUAUAUUGUGCAUUACCUGUUUUUUUCACAACAGAAACGACAAAUCCUAUUAGGUCCACCUCAGAACAAGAUGGCUGAAAGUCUGGAUCUAAAAAUUUGCUGAAGUGAAGGGGCUCCCGUGGCUGGUAAAUCUGAAAUAAAAUUUCAUCUGAAACCUACAGAAAACAAAACAAAAAUUCAACAUAUGGAGAUUCCAUAAACUAACAAGCACUUAUCAAAACUGAAAAAUUACAAUGAAAGAGAAUAUAAAUCUGAUGAUGGACGCCAAAUACUCAGUAUAACUGUUUGGAGAAAGAUGAGAAAGAUGCAAUGGAAGAAGUGAUUAUCAUUUAAAUGUUUGUUUCAAAAUAAAUACAGAUCCUCUUUUAUAUUAUCUCUUUGUGGGCAUUAGUAGUGGAUUUUGCUUCUCUGAUAUAAACUAACUUUAUACUUUAUCUGGAUUUAUAAUCA
rnacentral:lncRNA from 10 species